GUGGGAUGUCUCUCUCUCCCCCACUCUCUGUUUCCCUUUCUUUUUUUGUCCCCUCUCUCCAGGGCUCCUGAUUUCUCUUCAGCCUGACGCUCUUUUCAGUUAACGGCAAGGCGGUGCACCCAAGUCCGGUGGUGUCCUACCUGGUGACCUCCUACCUGUGCUGGGACGCCAGCGACUUGAUGCUGCACUCCGGAGCCGUGUCCUACCUAAGCCCAGUGGGCAUGUGAAGCAGAGGGCAGCCCUUGAAUGCGCGGCGGCUGAGCUACCGCGGGUGGGCCGUGCAGCAGGGCGCAGCGAGGCGGACAUCCAAACAGCGGAACUCAGACGCUGACUCCGAGCGCACCCCGGGCCUUCCCAUUUCAUACACCCUCGAGGAUGAGACCCAAGCACCUCCAAGGAAUAGCACCCGAGGUCUUCAGGACACCGACCGGUAGCCAUGGCCAGAUGCCCGGCCAACCCCUUCAGCGUGGCCACGCCCUGGAUAUUCGACCUCCCCUGAGGCCCCACCCCCUGAUAUCAGGCCACGCCCUCCGAGGGGACCGGUGGCAAACUCCAGCCCUCGCUCUAGGGCCCGCCCUUUGCGGCUUUGUCCCUGCCCACUGGGUCCUCACAGUACCUCCACCCCAGAGGCCCAGCAUCCCCUCCCGUUCUGCAGACACUUGUCCAGCGUCCCGCUGAGCUCGGCAGUGUGGCUAGUUUGUGUGGCCCUGCCCCUGGUGCCCAGCCAGGGUGGUCUGCAUGGAACUUCUUUCCCGGAGUUCCGGCCUCAGCUCCGAUGUCCACCCUUGUCCCCAGGUGGACACAGCACCGCCCAGCAUUUGGUGCAACUCCACCCUUCUGCAGAACGGGCCCCUCCCUGGGAAGGCAUGGCUUGCAAUAACAUCCCUCUGUACCUUUUCUGGCUUCCCCGCCACAAUAAAACCUCUCAGCCUCAG
rnacentral:lncRNA from 1 species